rnacentral:piRNA from 2 species
UGUGUGGCUCUUUGAAUCAGCGUGAAACUGA